rnacentral:rRNA from 1 species
CCCUACGGGGCGCAGCAGGCGAGAAAACUUUGCAAUGUGCGAAAGCACGACAAGGUUAAUCCGAGUGGUUUCUGCUAAAGGAACCUUUUGUCAGUCCUAGAAACACUGAUGAAUAAGGGGUGGGCAAGUUCUGGUGUCAGCCGCCGCGGUAAAACCAGCACCUCAAGUGGUCAGGAUGAUUAUUGGGCCUAAAGCAUCCGUAGCCUGCUUUGUAAGUUUUCGGUUAAAUCCAUACGCUCAACGUAUGGGCUGCCGGGAAUACUGCAGAGCUAGGGAGUGGGAGAGGUAGACGGUACUCGGUAGGAAGGGGUAAAAUCCUUUGAUCUAUUGAUGACCACCUGUGGCGAAGGCGGUCUACCAGAACACGUCCGACGGUGAGGGAUGAAAGCUGGGGGAGCAAACCGGAUUAGAUACCCGGGUAGUCCCAGCUGUAAACUAUGCAAACUCAGUGAUGCAUUGGCUUGAUGCCAAUGCAGUGCUGCAGGGAAGCCGUUAAGUUUGCCGCCUGGGAAGUACGUACGCAAGUAUGAAACUUAAAGGAAUUGGCGGGGGGGCACCACAAGGGGUGAAGCCUGCGGUUCAAUUGGAGUCAACGCCAGAAAUCUUACCCGGAGAAACAGCAGAAUGAAGGUCAAGCUGAAGACUUUACCAGACAAGCUGAGAGGUGGUGCAUGGGCCAA